AUAAGGGGAAGAGAUGAAACGUUCACUUGAGUCGGAGUUCUCGCCGCCAAGAACGUUAUCUUCUAGGAAGGACGAGACAGUCGAGAGUUAUUCGAACAAAUUCUACGGCCUUGUGGCAAGCUGUCAUGGGAUACGGCCCACAUUAUUAUGGCCCAGGUACAAGAGACUCUCCGGAUCGUUCGACAGCUCGACCCAG